CUCACAGUAGGAGAACUAAAGAAACGAAAAAAAAAGCGGAAAGUUGUAAAAAUGUUUACUUUUUGUGUGGUAUGUAUUAUUUUUUUUGGCGGUUCUAUCCUUUUAUCCUUUUGGUUAACUGGUUAUUUAUUUAA
rnacentral:ribozyme from 14 species